UGGCCUGACGGCGGGGCGCGGCGGGCUCCCUCGGGGUCCGUGCUGGCGGACACUCGGCGGCCACGGCGCGAUGGAGUCGCCAGUCGAGCUGCUGGCCGCGCUACCCGCGCUGGUCACGGUGCUGGCGCUGCUGCUCGCCUGGCUGCUGCUGCGGCGUGGGCCGGCCCCAGCCCCGGCCCCGGAGAGCACCCCGCCGGCCGAGGCCCCCGGGGCUCCCGCGCCGCCAGAGCCUCCCGAGCCCUGCGCCCCGGAGCCCGCACCGGCGGGACCGUGCCAGUCCGAGCCCGUGGCAGAGCCGGGGGAGUCCGAGGCGGAGGAGCCAGCGGCCGAGGGGAGGCAGGAGGAAGACUUGGACAGCGAGAUGGGGCCACCCACUGAAGAGCCUGAGGAAGAAGACGGAGCAGCCUUCUCCUUUAAGUACAGCCCUGGGCAGCUGAGGGGAAGCCAGUACAAGAAGAUGAUGACCAAAGAAGAACUGGAGGAGGAACAGAGGAUUGAGCUGACCUCUGACCUCACCUCCCUGUAGCGAGUCCCCUAGUCCCGGGCCACAAAUGUUCUCGCAAACCCUUGUGGUAAGGAGAACUGAAGAAUAAUGAAGGUGUCCCUAGACUCUUCCUGAAAGCUUUCCUUCCUUUUGACAUCCUAAAAGCUUGAGAGAUUUAAAAAAAAAAAAAAAAGCCGCCUCCUCCCCAGGAGCCAGUGCAGGCUGGGGUGGGGGAGGGGUGCACGGGGGCCGCCUCCUCCUUGGGCUCCUCUGGGCUAGCAAGAGCCUGGGACUGGCCUUGGCUCUGUCCUUCUCGGAGGGGCUUAUGAGGAGGAAGCCUGCCAAUUGUAUGGGCUCGGGCCUUGGGCUUUUCUUACCAGCCACGUUUGCUCCCCACACAGCCUUUGUACCCCUCCACGCACACCCUGUUCCCUCAGUCCCUCCGUGAUUUUUGUUCUCACUGAAGUCAAACUACCAGAUUUGAGAAGUGACGGACAAAGGAAGUGAAGCCCCACUGGUGCUCACUCGUGGCCGGGGGUGGUCACCCACACCCACAUACACGUGUGGGGCUGGGGCACUUUCCUCUCUGGCCGGAAUGAUUCAUGCCAGGUACUAGCUUUAAUAUGGCCUCCCUUCUUGCUCGCCCACACCGCAGGAGUCUGGGCUCCAGCCCUCUCUGUACUAAGGAGCCUUCCCAGUAGUGUUCUUACCAGCUCCACCUAGGCUCCACUUUCGCUUCCUGAAGCAGCCGCAGUGUUAGCAUCCAGUAGACGUCUGGAUUGCGCAUUUUCUAAGGUUUUUUUCUACAUGACUUAGAACCUCAGCAGAUAAUCAGUCACUCACCGUUCCCAGGUUAGUUUUUCUAGAAUUUUAUAUUUGACAGUACUUAUACCAAAUGACUUGGAAGUCAUAGACUUGUUAGCGAAAACAUUUUUUUUUUCUUUUUUUUUCUAAAGCACUAGGUUUUUAGAAGACUUCCUGUUUUACAGAAGCCUGGAAAAUGUCCAGCAUCGACUCCUAAGCCUGUACUCCUGGUGGUCUUCUCCUUGAUAACUCGGGUUCAGGGCUUAGGGCUGAACAGGCAAAAAGGCAGCGGCAAACACACACUGCCUUAGUUAGACGCAGAGCCACAUGACCAACACGGGCACACUCACGUGUCCCUAAAUGGCAAUAGCGAAGUCCCUGCCUAAGCCGGGAUUUCCUCCACAUAGAAUACCGACUUCCUCUGAAUACGGUUAGCUAGGCUUAUGUGGACCCUGAGCAUGGCAGCGGGCAGCAAGCCCCUGGCACUGCUGGUGGCUUGCCUCGCUGUGUUCAGCCUGUGUUCAGGCCAAUAAACAUUGAGUAGAGAA